GGAGGGACGCCCAGGUCACGCUGUCCGCCAAGGAGCUGGCUCGCCACUGUCGCCGCCGUACGAGGGGUGCGGCGGAGACGGAGCGGCUCAUCCAGGAGGUGCUGGACGCCUUCUGGCAUGUGACGGACACCAUGGGCGUCCCUUUGAUUGACCGCGCCCGCAUGGAGGACAUCUGGGGCACGCAGCGCCGCCACCUCGACUGCGUCCAGGACCCAGAGGGGGUGGAGCUGUACACCAAGACGGGAGAGAUCACCAAGGGUGGUGUGAGGCUCCCCGUCUUCCGGUGCGCUCGCGGCUCCACCUCCCUCGAGUCCUUCCACCUGCACCAGUGCCGCUUCGUUCCGGGUACCACCUCGAGUGACGUCCACUAUCAGGUGUACCUGCUGGAGGGCCUGGCUCGGUGGAACGAGGACCGCGGCAGGGCGGCAGUCGAGGGAGGACCGCGAGCGGCGCUGCGGUGCUACAGCGCCCGGCUGCAGCACAGCUUCAACGAGCUGGCCUCUGAGGUCAACGGGGUCCAGCCGGUCGACGACUUCACCCAGCCCAGAGAGUACACAGGGGAACUCUUAGGGGUGGAGUACUUGUACUCCCAGUCGGGCGCUGUGCUGCAGCCGGAUCCCGAACCUCUGGAUGGGGCAGAGGAGGAGGAAGAGGCCGCCGCCGAUGACGGCUUCGAGGAGGAGGAGGAGCACCCGGAGGAGGAGCCAGAGGAGAUCCGUCUCCUGGCACACCACAGCGCCCUGCUCCAGGAGCCCUGCGGUGUGCUCCAGGUCGAUGCCACCUUGGGAUCGCCCCAUUCCGAGGUGGAGGAGGAGAUGGAGGAGGAGGAGGAGGAGGAGGAAGACGUCGUCGGGCCGGACGGUCAGCCCGGGUACCACCACGCGGUGGCCCUGGCCCACGGCCUCGUGGAGCUGCGUCACCACGCCUUCGUCACCGCCCGUCAGACCAGAGGCAUCAUCGCUCUCUGGGAGAGGCUGACGGAGCGGGACAAGGCGCCGGUGACCUUCACCCCCCGCCACCAGGACCGGCUGGCUAAAGGGCGGUUCAAGACCAGCAACCGCCACGCCCACAUCCCGGGAGUGGACAGUGUGAAGCGUGUCGUCGUGGGUAAGGGUGCGGGAGCGGCACAGUACCCAAGCCUCAGCAGGGUCGUCGAGGCCAUCAUGUUGGAGCUGUGCCGCGUCCACAGCGGCGACGCCAAGACCAUCGCCGGGGCACGCCUCAACCGCUGGGGUGCCGUCAUGAGGGAUUACAAAUUGAUCCAGGACAACGUGGUCAACUGUCCUGCCCUCAUGGCGAGCACCCGCAUCAUGCUGUUUGACGUGAACCAGCGGACCCUGUCCAUGUGGCAAAACACCAGGGAAAAAAAUAAGAUGAGGGACACCCUCUCCCUCGCAGUCCCGGGGCCCAGCGCUCCCCAGACUGCAGCGGAGCCCCCUGUCGGCCCCACGGACUCUGCUGCAGCAGCCCCAGCAGCCAGACCAGCCCCUCCAGCACCGCCUGCCCGCGGAUGCCUCUGGUCUGGCUGCAACGAUCAGAGGGCCGCUGGCCCCGGAGCUCUACGACCUCGUGGUGAAGCAGCAGAGUGCCGCCACCGCCACCGCCACCACCACCGCCACCGCCCCCCCCCCCGGACCUCAGCCCGCUCUCAGCCGCGGCCACCGCUCCAGCCAUUGCCGUCGCCAUUGCUGGAGCCAUGCCCCGCACCACUGUCUGGAGGCACAGGGUCCUGGAGGAGAAGGAGCGUCGUGCCCGGGAGCUAGGGGUCUACCUCAAGCCCCUUAAAAGGUCUCGGGCUUUACCUGCAGCCGCUGUGGCCAGCACAAGACCAGG
ensembl:lncRNA